UUAGCUCAGUUGGAAGAGCAUCUGACUGUAGAAUAUUAUAUCAGAGGGUCGCUAGUUCGAAUCUGGC
rnacentral:tRNA from 1 species